rnacentral:rRNA from 1 species
AAGCCCAAGAUGCCUAGCCGGUUUGAGAGAACGAUCGGCCACACUGGGACUGAGACACGGCCCAGACGCUUACGAGCGGCAGCAGUGGGGAAUAUUGGACAAUGGGCGCAAGCCUGAUCCAGUGAUAUCGCUUUGGGGAUGACGGCGACAUACGUUGUAAACCCAAUGAAGUACGUUUAGAUUAUGACCGUACGUAUUUUAGAAGUCCCGGCUAAUCUCGUGCCAGCAGCCGCGGUAAUACGAGAGGGGCAAGCGUUAUUCAAAAUGAUUGGGCGUAAAGCGCACGUAGGUGGUGAUAUGUAUCCAUAAAUACUCAGGCUACUAGUCUUGUCGGUAUUUAUGAUGUAUAUAUAUUUCUUGAGGGUGUGAGAGGAGCAUGGAAUUUCCUAGGAAGCGGUAGAAUGUGUUGAUCUAGGAAGGAACACCAAUAGCGAAAGCAGUGCUCUGGCACAUUCCUGACAUUGAGGUGCGAAAGCGUGGGGAUCAAAAGGGAUUAGAUACCCCUGUAGUCCACGCUGUCAACGAUGACCAUUCCCUGUAUUUUGAAUAUAUCAAAGUGUAGGUUAGCUAACGCGGUAAAUGGUCCGCCUGAGGAGUACGGUCGCAAGACUAAAACUCAAAGGAAUAGACGGGGGCUCACACAAGUGGUGGAACAUGUGGUUUAAUUCGAUACUACGCGCAAAACCUUACCAGUUCUUGACAUGAUCCUUAUGGAUCACAGGUGUUGCAUGGCUGUCGUCAGCUCGUGUGGUGACAUGUUGGAUUAAUUUCCCGAACGAGCGAAACCCUGCUAUAUUGUAAUAACUUUAUGUAAUUCAAUAUAGACCGCCAGUGAUAGACUGGAGGCAGGAUAGGAUGACGUCAAGUCCUCAUGACCCUUAUGAACUGGGCUACACACGUGUUACAAUGGUGUAAACAAAACGUAGCAAUGAUGAAAAUCGGAGCCAAUCGCUAAAUUACACCUCAGUACGGAUUGGUGUCUGCAACUCGACUCCAUGAAGUCGGAAUCGCUAGUAAUCGUGGAUCAGCAUGCCACGGUGAAUACGUUCCCGGGCCUUGUACACACCGCCCGUCACACCAUGGGAGUUGGCUUUACCCGAA